UACAUAAAACUACCGAGGGUGGAUCAUUAGAAUAGGACUCAAUCUUGGAAUAGAAGUUAUAGAAUUUAUGACAUCAAGGUCCAAUCUCCCCAUAGGGA